AACGUAGGGGACAAGCGUUAUCCGGAUUUACUGGGCGUAAAGCGCAUGUAGGUGGCGCGGAAAGUUGGACGUGAAAGCUCCCGGCUUAACUGGGAGAGGUCGUACAAAACUACCGUGCUUGAGGAUGGAAGAGGAGAGCGGAAUUCCCGGUGUAGUGGUGGAAUGCGUAGAUAUAGGAAGGAACACCAGUGGCGAAGGCGACCACCUGGACUGAUACUGACACUGAGGUGCGAAAGCGUGGGGAGCAAACAGG
rnacentral:rRNA from 1 species